UAGGCGACUGUGGAUGCUUAGGCAUUUUCCGUUGGCGACUCAAAGGCCGACUAACUGUUAGUGAUCGGGCAAAUGGCUGACCAAGAGUGGCCGAGGGGAAGUCCCCGACGGUAUACCGUCGAUACCGUCGGGCUAUUAAAAUCCCCGAGUGUGUUAAUAUAUAUCCGACGGUAUAAAAACACUUGGCUAAAGUUUGGAUUCUAGUAGUGAUAUCAUCUUCACCACCACUUUAUUCUUCUUCAGAGUUCACAGAUCUAUCAUUCUCAUCCUCAUCAUCCUCCAAGUCGGCAACAUCAAAAUCAUUGUUUACUCUACAUGUAUCAAAGUCACCUUCAUCACCACUACCAUCUGAACCAUGAGAACAAUCAUCAUCACCACCCUCUUCAUCAUCAUCUUCCUCAUCAACCUCAUUGGCCAGUAACACAUCUUCCUAGUUAAGUGUUCGAUAGGCUCAUCGCUAUGUGGAGGCAUACACCAAGGACAAACAUCAACAACUAACUUGGCACAAGCAACUUGAAAAUCUUUCACCAACUCUUUGUAAAAUAACCAAUCAUCAUCACAUGCAAGAGGCAUCAACACAUAGUGAGAUCUUUUGUCACCGGCAUCAAACCUUUCACGAAUCUUUAAAUCCUCUUCCUCAUUUUCAACUUUGAACAAAGAAUUAACUCAGCCUAUUAUAUCAUCAAAUGUUGGAGGACUAUCAAAUCUUGCUACUUGUUGCCUCAUUCUUGCAAACUCUCCAUUAUCAUCAACCGUGCCACCCGAGAAAAAAUGAAUUAAACGAUCCAUUUACACACAACCACAAAAUUAAAUGGAUUAUAUGGACCUUCACCUAUUUUCUUACGACUUCUACAUUACCAAAUAUAUAAAAAACUAUAUCUUGAAAGCAUUAGUGAAGAAUUUUCAAAAAACAAUUUACCCACAAUUCACACUUCGAAAUCCUACUAUGCAAUAGAAAUUACACGAUAGGAAGGGGUUACCAUCGACCAAUUGCACGAUACAACAUACCUAAUCAUAGCCGAUUCGUACUCAAUCCACCUAUGCAACUCAAACCAUACACAAAACCUAACCACCUCAGUCCAACUAAAACGACAGAAUCGAGAAAAACUAAUUGGUUAGAGUGAAGGAGUUACCUUCUUGGAGCAAUUUCCCUUCAUUUCCCCUUCGAAUCGAGUGAGAGAUGGAGUGGAUCUAGAGUGAAGGAGUUGGGGUGGCGCCAUGGGAGGGAGAGAGCUCGGGUUAAGGCUGGGAGGGGAAGGGAGGAAGUGAGGAGGAAGAAAGGAGGGGAUCGGCGGGCCCAGUCGUUAUGCGCUGAGUCGCGCCAUGCUGCCUGGCGCAACAGAGCAUGUGGGUGCAACUCAGCCAUGACAGCUUAGCUGCCAGCACGGCCACCCCAUGCGCGCCGUGCUAGCGUGGAGGGCCGGUCGCGCCCCAUGCUCUGGCGCGACUCAAAUAUUAGUCGCGUAAGAUAUUGUGGCACGACAGAAAGUGUUGCUUCUUGAAAUUUUACUUUCACCUAUGCUGUUUUAAAAAUUUUAGAUUGAAAAGGGUUAAAUAAAAAAAUUCGGUGAAGGAGGUAAGCAUGCUC
rnacentral:lncRNA from 1 species